GACGAACGCUGGCGGCGUGCUUAACACAUGCAAGUCGAACGAUGAAGCUGUAGCUUGCUCCGGUGGAUUAGUGGCGAACGGGUGAGUAACACGUGAGCAAUCUGCCCUUGACUCUGGAGUAACUACGGGAAACUGUAGCUAAUACCGGAUACUUUCACUGGAAGGCAUCUUCUGGUGAAGAAAGAAUUUCGGUCAAGGAUGAGCUCGCGGCCUAUCAGCUUGUUGGUGAGGUAACGGCUCACCAAGGCGACGACGGGUGGCCGGCCUGAGAGGGUGACCGGCCACACUGGGACUGAGACACGGCCCAGACUCCUACGGGAGGCAGCAGUGGGGAAUAUUGCACAAUGGGCGCAAGCCUGAUGCAGCAACGCCGCGUGAGGGAUGAAGGCCUUCGGGUUGUAAACCUCUUUUAGCAGGGAAGAAGCGAAAGUGACGGUACCUGCAGAAAAAGCACCGGCUAACUACGUGCCAGCCGCCGCCGUAA
rnacentral:rRNA from 1 species